rnacentral:rRNA from 1 species
AUUGAACGCUGGCGGAAUGCUUUACACAUGCAAGUCGAACGGCAGCACGGACUUCGGUCUGGUGGCGAGUGGCGAACGGGUGAGUAAUGUAUCGGAACGUGCCCAGUCGUGGGGGAUAACGUAGUGAAAAUUACGCUAAUACCGCAUACGAUCUAUGGAUGAAAGCGGGGGAUCGCAAGACCUCGCGCGAUUGGAGCGGCCGAUAUCAGAUUAGGUAGUGGGUGGGGUAAAGGCCCACCAAGCCAACGAUCUGUAGCUGGUCUGAGAGGACGAACAGCCACACUUGAACUGAGACACGGUCCAGACUGCUACGGGAGGCAGCAGUGGGGAAUUUUGGAGAAUGGGCGAAAGCAUGAUCCAGCCAUUCCGCGUGCAGGAUGAAGGCCCUCGGGUUGUAAACUGCUUUUGUACAGAACGAAAAGGUUUCUACUAAUACUAGGAGCUCAUGACGGUACUGUAAGAAUAAGCACCGGCUAACUACGUGCCAGCAGCCGCCGUAA